rnacentral:lncRNA from 1 species
UUUCAACUACCCAAAGUCAUGAAACGAAACCCCUCAAGUCUGUUAUGAAUGCCGGAUUAAAAGUAAAGCAUUAAUUGCUAAUACAAGCAUAGAAUCAAUUCAUUCUCAACAAUAAUAAGGUCCACAACAUGCAUGAACAAUAUCAUCAUCACCCUAAAACAGCAAAUAGAGUUUGAAGCUAGACAUCCCAUGCCUAGCCAAAUGUCGAAACCCAAAUCUUGAGCAGCCAUGGAUUUACUCUGUCUUUAAAGCCAUCCGUUUCCUGUGAGCCUCGGAUGGUACUUUCACAUCUGUUGCCAGUCCUAGAGCUUCAAGAAAUUUUAUGAUGUACCAAGUCAAGUCAAUUUGCCACCAUUCCAGGCCUUGUCGAGCUGAGUAUUCGAAGGCAUGGUGAUUAUUGUGCCAGCCUUCUCCAAGUGCAACCAAUCCCAACCACCUUGAAAUUUGAGUAUGAAUAAAAAUCCAUUUUAAAAUUGCAACUUUCAUUUCUCAAUUAUAUAUUAAAUAUAUAGUAGAAGGAAGAGUACUAAUUAAUAUAAGUACCAAAGGUUCCUAGACAGAUCCCCGGUGUUCCAUGUCUGAUAUCCCCAGGUGUGGCCAGCAGAAUUUACAAACAAAGUAAUGUGGAAAACAACCACCAUUCUCACGCCCUGCAAAUGAUAAUGAGUUUAAACUCAAGGAUCUGUGCUAGAAGUAAUUAGAAUAAAUAAAUAAAUAAAUAAAAUAAAGAAUAAAAAAGCAUACGUAUUUAUAUAUGUGCUUAUAAUUCUAGUAAUAAGAAUGGGAGAGUUUCAAACACAACUUUUCUGGUUUGAAAUGUUUUAAGAUCUUGUAUGAAUACAUGAUCAAUUUAUUAGAAAUGAAAAAGAGGAAAAUCUAUAUAUCUCACCACUCCCCAAACCAAGAAGGGAAGUCCACCCACGGCAUAUAAUAUGCCUGCAAGAACAAAUGAGUGUAGCAUGAAAGUAUGAUGAAGAAACACAUAAAAUGGCUGCUUUUUCAUGUCUUCAACAUUCUUUAGUCCUCCAUACUGCAAAUUUCUCAUUAAAAAAAAACAAAUUAAGUGUAAGCAUUUGUACCAAAAGAAAAAAGUGUAGAGAGAGAGAGAGAGAGAGAGAGAGAGAGAGAGAGGUUGUUUUUAAUUACUCUUCCAAACCGAGAACUGCUAUCAAGGAUCCAGCCCAUAUGACUAUACCAGAAACCCUUAAGUGGGCUGUGAGCAUCUUUUUCUGUAUCAGUAAACUGGUGGUGGUAUCGGUGUGUGCUCACCCAUUCAAUUGGACUUCCCUGCAAACCCAAAACAACAAACAGAAAAUCGUAAAAGUAGACCAAAAAAAGAAAGAACAUAAACAACAAAACUUGCAAAAUGUUUCUCAAAAAUGAGAUUUGACAUACCUCAAGUGCGAGAACCCCACAGUAGGCAAACAAGUACUCAAGCAAUUUUGGAACCCUAAAACUUCUAUGAGCAAGAUUUCUAUGGUAAGAAAGAGUGAUUCCAAAACCGGUCACAACGGCCAGCCAAAAGGCCACCAAAAACGCAGUCCAAGUGAAGUAAAACGGUGCAAACAAAGCCAGGCAAUGCACACUCAAGAACAUACCAGCUGUCACAAGGUCUAGAAGAUUCCAUUUCCUCCCCAAGAAAUUUGCACAAGGGGUCAUGAGAAUGGUGACCCAAACUUUCAAAAGCCCCAUAAUGAGAGAGAGAGAGAGAGAGAGAGAGAGAGAGAGAAUGGGACUCUUUUUUGAGCCAAUGGUUUUGAGGAUUGUAUGAGAGACAAAGGAUUGCUGCUUGGGAAAGUUGGCCAUGACUUUGGCCAUUACUUAUAGUGAAGCAAUUUAAUUCAGAGCUGCCCCGUCAGGUUAUGGUAGGUGAUGGCAUUAGACUUACUUAUUGUAAUUUCCCCAAACCCCAAACAAAUUCAAUUAGCGUGUUCUUUGUGUUUCUAUUUUUAAAUGAAAAUUCAGAGUUAGAAAGUAACCUACUACUAUAAUUUAAUUGUCACGUCUCAACCCAAACCAUAUGCAUCAUGCUUGCUUCACAGAGAGAGUAUCAUCAAGGGCUAGAGGCCAAACGUACUAUGCAAACCCAGCUGAAGCUCUUAUGACCCAUCAAACCGCUUGAGCCAGUUUCAUUAGAAUGUCAGACAGAGUAAGAGCUAGUAGUUAUAAAGCCUGCUUUUGACAACCACCUAAACAGUAACUUCAAUACUUGUCCUUCUCAAAUUAAUUAAUACUUAACUUCCAUGUCGAUUCAAAAGACACAAACUUCAAAUAAUAUGAAACUAAUCUGUCUCUGAAUCCAAGGAAUACUUCUUGGUUUUCAUAUUGGCCGUUAGAUUUUAUAGUGGAGAAAUCACCACCAUGUAUUUGUUGAAAAUGUGUACCUGGCUAUUAUUUCUUCUAUGCUAAUCUAAAAAUAUUUUAGAAUAUGCUAUUGAACCUAAUCUUCUUACAACUCCAAGUUUAAAUUAGAGAGUAUUAGAAUAAAUAUUAAAAAUAGACAAUAGCUAAUUGGUUGAAUGAUUUGUUGUGAUUACAAACGUCAACAGUACAAAGUAUACAUAUGUCCUACAAUCAACCAGGCUUUAUAUCUAAGGCUUAGAAGCCGUGAUCCACCUUCGGUGGGAUUUGAUCUACACAAACUUAAUUAGGAAAGUAAAUAUAUUACAAUAAAUAAAUUGGGUAAAUUUUACUUUACUACCUGGAAGUUUACCGAAAUUAAGAGUUUACCACCUAAAGUUUUUUUCGUGUCAACUUCGUACCUAAAAUUUGAUAUUCAUGUAACUUUCAUACCUCCAUUAUAAUGUCCGUCAAGUCAUCUGUUAAACGACGACGUGGCAAUUAGUGGGCCUAUAAAGAUCCACUCAUAUUGCGGAUGUGGAUGGACAAAUAUAAAAUAUAAGAAAAAUAUUUUUCCUGUUUUGAUAAGAAGAGAUAAAAAUUAUUAAAUAAAUUUAUAAAAUAAAAAAGCUAAAAUAAAAUUAUUCAAUUUAUAUUUUAAAUGAUUUUAAAAGAGUUAUAAAGUUGAUGGAGUUUAAUUGAAUUUAAUUGAGUUUGACUGAAUUCUACAAACUCCACAUAGAUUUUGACUGAAUUCGUGUAUAGAUUUUAAUUGAGUUUGUUAGAAUUUAAUUAUUGAUUUUAAUGGAGUUUAUAGCGAUGGAGGUGGUGGUGAUGGCGAGGGCGAUCACGGUGGCGAUGGUGGUUUGUAGGGGAGGUGGGGGNNNNNNNNNNNNNNNNNNNNNNNNNNNNNNNNNNNNNNNNNNNNNNNNNNNNNNNNNNNNNNNNNNNNNNNNNNNNNNNNNNNNNNNNNNNNNNNNNNNNGUAUCGAUCAGCUUUCAAAUAAGUUCGAAUGUAAUCAUAGUAUCAGAAAAAACAAGAUGAACAUACUAUGUUUUUUUUUCUCUCAUCAACAGGUGCGUCAGUUUCGUUUUUGACAUAUGAAUGACAUUUGGUUGUCAAAUUUUGUUUAAAACUUUUAGCCUUUCAAAAUUGCACCUCCGCCAAAAAAUUCCUGAGUCCGCCCAACCCAAAGUCAUGAAACAAAACCCCUCAAGUUUGUUAUAAAUGCCGGGUUAAAAGUAAAGCAUUAAUUGCUAAUACAAGCAUAGAAUCAAUUCAUUCUCAACAAUAAUAAGGUCCACAACAUGCAUGAACAAUAUCAUUAUCACCCUUUUCGUCCAAAAAAAAAUAUCAUUAUCACCAUAAAACAGCAAAUAGAGUUUGAAGCUAGACAUCCCAGGCCUAGCCAAAUGUCGAAACCCUAAUCUUGAGCAGCCAUGGAUUUACUCUGUCUUUAAAGCCAUCCGUUUCCUGUGAGCCUCGGAUGGUACUUUCACAUCUGUUGCCAGUCCUAGAGCUUCAAGAAAUUUUAUGAUGUACCAAGUCAAGUCAAUUUGCCACCAUUCCAGGCCUUGUCGAGCUGAGUAUUCGAAGGCAUGGUGAUUAUUGUGCCAGCCUUCUCCAAGUGCAACCAAUCCCAACCACCUUGAAAUAUGAAUAUGAAUAUAUAAAAAUCAAUUUUAAAAUUGCAACUUUCAUUUCUCAAUUAUAUAUGAAAUAUAUAGUAGAAGGGAGAGUACUAAUUAAUAUAAGUACCAAAGGUUCUUAGACAGAUCCCCGGUGUUCCAUGCCUGAUAUCCCCAGGUGUGGCCAGCAGAAUUUACAAGCAAAGUACUGUGGAAAACAACUACCAUUCUCACGCCCUGCAAAUGAUAAUGAGUUUAAACUCAAGGAUAUGUGCUAGAAGUAAUUAGAAAAAAAAUUAAAAAAAUUAAAAGAAACAAUAAAAAAGCAUAUGUACAUUUAUAUUUGUGCUUAUAAUUCUAGUAAUAAGAAUGGGAGAGUUUCAGACACAACUUCUCUGGUUUGAAAUGUUUAAGAUCUUGUGCGAAUACAUGAUCAAUUUAUUAGAAAUGAAAAAGAGGAAAAUGUAUAAAUCUCACCAUUCCCCAAACCAAGAAGGGAAGUCCACCCACGGCAUACAAUAUGCCUGCAAGAAUAAAUGAGUGUAGCAUGAAAGUAUGAUGAAGAAACACAUAAAAUGGCUGCUUUUUCAUGUCUUCAACAUUCUUUAGUCCUCCAUACUGCAAAUUUCUCAUUAAAAAAAAACAAAAUUAAGUGUAAGCAUUUGUACCAAAAGAAAAAAGUGUAACUAUUACUGGAGAGAGAGAGAGAGAGAGAGAGAGAGAGAGAGAGAGGUUGUUUUUAAUUACUCUUCCAAACCGAGAACUGCUAUCAAGGAUCCAGCCCAUAUGACUAUACCAGAAACCCUUAAGUGGGCUGUGAGCAUCUUUUUCUGUAUCAGUAAACUGGUGGUGGUAUCGGUGUGUGCUCACCCAUUCAAUUGGACUUCCCUGCAAACCCAAAACAACAAACAGAAAAUCGUAAAAGUAGACCAAAAAAAGAAAGAACAUAAACAACAAAACUUGCAAAAUGUUUCUCAAAAAUGAGAUUUGACAUACCUCAAGUGCGAGAACCCCACAGUAGGCAAACAAGUACUCAAGCAAUUUUGGAACCCUAAAACUUCUAUGAGCAAGAUUUCUAUGGUAAGAAAGAGUGAUUCCAAAACCGGUCACAACGGCCAGCCAAAAGAGCACCCAAAAGGCAGUUCAAAUGCAGGAAAACGGUGCAAAGUGAGGCAGGCAAUGCACACUCAAAACAUACCAGCUGUCACAAUUUCCAGUAGAUUACAUUUCCUCCCCAAGAAAUUUGCACAAGGGGUCAUGAGAAUGGUGACCCAAACUUUCAAAAGCCCCAUAAUGAGAGAGAGAGAGAGAGAGAGAGAGAGAGAGAGAGAGAGAGAGAGAGAGAGAGUGUGUGUGACUCUUUCUUCAGCCAACGGUUUUGAGGAUUGUAUGAGAGACCAUGACUUUGGCCAUUACUUAUAGAGUUUAUGUACCAUUUGGACUAAUAAUUUAAUUGAGGAACCAAAAUGUAAAUCACGUAUGAUUUUGAGGACCAUUUGAGCAAUUUACCCUUUUUUUAAAAGUGACAGCAAUCCCAAACUGGGCCUUAGUUUGGCUGUGCACUCCAUUUGUUUGACAAAAGCCUGAUAAACUUCCCUUCCUUUUUUUGUCUGCAUUGCACGCACUUAUGUUUUUUUUUUUUUUUUUUUUUGUAAAUCUCUUGGCCAAAACAACGUCGUUUUAGACUAGGAGAAAGGAAAAAAAAAAAGAAAAAAAAGAUCCGUACUGUAGACGGAAAAGAAGGUGGAAAACUCCUUCAGCAAUAAGGAGAUUUUGCUUAAAAAUAGAAAAAAGAAAAUCUCCCUUUUUUGAGAGAUUCUUUAUGUCUACCAAUCCAAAUCCUUACAAAAAAAAUAUCAUCAAAUUCAUUUUUUUUACGUCUCUACCACCAAUCUGUUUAUUUCCUUGUUUUUUUUGUUUUGUUUUUUUUUGUUUUUUUUUUUGUUUUGUUUUGUUUUUUUUGGUAGAGAACUACAAGUCUUUUAUAAAAAUUGAUUCAUCAAUUAAGUCUUGUGCCAAGAAAGAAAAUAUUGUAUCGAUCAAGCUUUCAAAUAAGUUCGAAUGUAAUUCAUAGUUAAUCAAGAAAAAAACAAGAUGAAACAUACUAUGGUUUUUUUUUCUUCUUCAUCAACAGGUGCGUCAGUUUCGUUUUUGACAUAUGAAUGACAUUUGGUUGUCAAUUUUUGUUUAAAACUUUUAGCCUUUCAAAAUUGCACCUCCGCCAAAAAAUUCCUGAGUCCGCCCAACCCAAAGUCAUGAAACAAAACCCCUCAAGUUUGUUAUAAAUGCCGGGUUAAAAGUAAAGCAUUAAUUGCUAAUACAAGCAUAGAAUCAAUUCAUUCUCAACAAUAAUAAGGUCCACAACAUGCAUGAACAAUAUCAUUAUCACCCUUUUCGUCCAAAAAAAAAUAUCAUUAUCACCAUAAAACAGCAAAUAGAGU